rnacentral:RNase_P_RNA from 1 species
CGAGCUAACUAGAUAAUCGCUCUUUUUUAAGAGAGGAAAGUCCGGGCUCCAUUGGGCAAGGUGCCAGGUAACACCUGGGAGACGCAAGUCUACGGAAAGUGCAGCAGAAAAUAAACCGCCUAUUAUUAGGUAAGGGUGAAAAGGUGCGGUAAGAGCGCACCGCGUAACUGGUAACAGCUUGCGGCAUUGCAAACCCCUUCUGGAGCAAGACCAAAUAGAGGUUCUAUAGUUAGUCCUGACUGAACCUGGGUAGGUUGCUUGAGUUUUAUGGUGACAUAAAACCUAGAUGAAUGAUUAUCCUCGACAGAACCCGGCUUACCGGUUAGCUCACUCU